AGUCCUAUAAAAAGGCAUCGUAAUUUAACCCGCGAUACCAUACACCUACUCAAGUGAGUGAAGUGAGCUCGAAAAUCCUAGCCACAACAUGAAACUUCUGGUACUUCUUGGAUUUUUGGCUGUGGCCCACUCGCAAGUUUCCGAAAAACGCAUGAGCUCUCUAGACGUUUUGGAGAAACUCAGUCAGCAUAUUCCCAACUACAAAUAUGCAACGGACUUAACCAUCCUUAGACUAUCUGAGGCAAAAAAAAUGCAUCGGAAGUGCUGAACGAAUUUUACAGGAAAACCCUCAAAAUUAAGACAGAAUCACUUGUGUCGAUGAUUAACUUAGAGCUAGAAAUGAUAAACUAUGGAAAAUCAGUUAUCGAAUAUUGUUGGGAGAAUAAUAUACCCAUCCUCGAAGGUAGAAUGGGAUGGGCCGGUGAUGACUACAGGUACUGUAUCAAGCAAUUGGAUAACUCAACCACUAA